ACAAAUGGAUCGAUGGUGUGUAAUAACGUACAAAAUUUACUUAAAUUAUAAACCCUUUUGAUUCACCUACUCAACCUUUUAAAAUUUUGAUUUUUUACUAUCCAACCUUUCAAUUUGUUUAAUUUGAGUCAGUCAGCAGCAAUUUAAUUUCAAAAUUUAAACUAAUUACUAACGUCAAUGAAUUUAUAACUAGUUGCGAGAAUUGUAUGAAAUAUACUAAUUAAAACUCUAAAAAUAAAUGACGCAUUCAAAUUUUGAAAUCAAGAUGCCGUUAAUCAACUAAAAUCAAAUAAAUUAAAAGAUUGGAUAAUAAAAUUAAAAUUUUGAAAGAUUGAAUAAAUAAUUCAAAAUAGUCCAUAGUUCACGUGUCACGCCCCACCCCGUUGCACAGCGGAGGCCAUGCGUGCGUAUGCACAGACCUGCCGAACGGAUAGAGUUUCUACUAUCUGCCCAAGUCGUAAACAAAACCAAUACAUUAAAUUUCAUCUAAAAAAAAUAAUAUAAUACAGUUUUGCACGAGAGUAUAUCAAAAGAGCGAGAAUGUAAAGAUAAUUUUAAAAAUGGAAAUAUAAUUGAGAGUAAAAUUGUAUUUGAGGAAGAAUUCAUGUAUUACGUAAAAUAUGAAUGUUCCAAUAUUGUAAUAGUAAAUUCAAUGUAUUGAUUUUGUUUACGUCUUAGACAGCCAGGGAAAACUCUGCGCGCGCCCACAUGACCUCCACUGUGCAACAGGGCGGAGCGUGACAUCAGGUAAGUUCUAUACGUUUGUCCCUAUAUAUAAUAUUUAUAAUUAUUUUUUAGUGCACAAAUACAAUGUUUUUCUUUUUUGUUUAUAAUACAGUCACUAUUUGUAGUUUGAUCCAUAUAUCUUGAGAAAAUAUGAGGAUUAAUGUGAGACUCCAGAUAGUCCUAUAUAUAAGAUACAAUAGAGCUAAAACUCUUAACCAGGCUUAAGUAUUUUGGGUAGUGGUUAGGCUCAAGAUGUUAAGAGAGUUAAGCGUGCUAGAACAGUAGUAGUCCUAGGAUAGGUGACCCUAUGGGAAUUGGAGUGUCACAGUUGGUAUCAGAGCUAAUUACCAACCGAAAGUGUGAGAUGAGUUUCGACUGAGCUAAGAUUAUACAGAGUAGAGAGCGAGACUAUCAUACUGUUGACUGUUAUUGGUGGAGGGCAACUCACCACAAGAUCGGUUUAGACUAGCGAGACGACUCUCACAUCGCCUAAUACUUGUGAGUCCGAGCCUGAUAACGACGUCAAGGUUUAAAGGGGAGAAAAUGCAAAACCCCAAGUAAUCUUAUAUAUAAGAUAUAAUAGGGUUAAAACUUUUAACCCAGCUUAAACAUUUUGGGUGGUGACUAGGCGCAAGAGAUUAAAAGAGUUAAGCGUACUAGGACGGGAGUAGUACUAGAAUGGGUGACCCUCUGGGAAGUUGGGACGUCACAAUUAAUGUGCCAGAAAAUAAGUAAGAAUAGAGACAUG
rnacentral:lncRNA from 1 species